rnacentral:lncRNA from 1 species
GUAAAAGUUGAAAAUGUAAAAGUUGAAAAUGUAAAAGUUGAAAAUGCAAAAGUUGAAAAUGUAAAAGUUGAAAAUGCAAAAGUUGAAAAUGCAAAAGUUGAAAAUGUAAAAGUUGAAAAUGUAAAAGUUGAAAAUGUAAAAGUUGCAAAUGUAAAAGUUGAAAAUGUAAAAGUUGAAAAUGCAAAAGUUGAAAAUGCAAAAGUUGUAAAUGCAAAAGUUGAAAAUGUAAAAGUUGAAAAUGCAAAAGUUGAAAAUGCAAAGUUGAAAAUGUAAAAGUUGAAAAUGUAAAAGUUGAAAAUGUAAAAGUUGUAAAUGUAAAAGUUGAAAAUGUAAAAGUUGAAAAUGUAAAAGUUGAAAAUGUAAAAGUUGAAAAUGUAAAAGUUGAAAAUGUAAAAGUUGAAAAUGUAAAAGUUGA